rnacentral:misc_RNA from 1 species
GAUGAAGAACGCAGCGAAAUGCGAUACUUGGUGCGAAUUGCAGAAUCCCGUGAACCAUCGAGUCUUUGAACGCAAGUUGCGCCCGAAGCCAUCAGGUUGAGGGCACGUCUGCCUGGGCGUCACAUAUCGUUGCCCAAUGCCUAUUGCAGUGCAAUAGGAAUUUCUAGGGCGAAUGAUGGCUUCCCGUGAGCGUUGUUGCCUCGCGGUUGGUUGAAAAUCGAGUCCUUGGUAGGGUGUGCCAUGGUAGAUGGUGGUCGAGUUAGAACGAUACCGAUCAUGUGCAUGCUCCCCAAAAUAUGGCCUCUAUGACCCACACGCGUCUUUUGACGCUCAUGACGAGACCUCAGGUCAGGCGGGGCUACCCGCUGAAUUUAAGCAUAUCAAUAAGCGGAGGA